rnacentral:rRNA from 1 species
UUAAUAGUACGUGAAACUGAAUAAGUGGAAGCGUAUAGAGUUGUCGAAAGGUGGUAAUAAUUAGUUGUAAAGUAGUGUAACAGUUUGUAAAAUGUUUCCGUAUGGUUCAUUUUAUGGAUGUAGUUUGCUGCUUUGCGAUGCACUUGUUGCCAUUGUGCUGAUACAAUUGAUUGAGACUUUGGAAAUAAUAUUAGAGGACAUUCAUUUAUUUGAAUGUAUCCUGAUAUUAUGGAUAAAGUAUUUGGUUAAUUGCAAAUCUAGAGUAUAAAGGAGAAUGUAAGUAUGGUAGUGUAUUAGAGUUAACGCAUGCGUUGGCUUUUUUACAUUGCUAUAUCUUAUGUUUAACGAUAUGCUCUUAUAUCAGUAUAAAAGACAAUCACCUAUAUGUCCCGUCUUGAAACACGGACCAAGGAGUUUAUCGUAUGUGCGAGUCAUUAAGUGUUCAAAACUUAUUGGCGUAAUGAAAGUAAAGUAUUCUUUAUGAAUAUGAUAUAUGAUUAUUCUUUCUUCGGAAAGGGUAAGCAGUAUAGUCCCAUCCAAUUUGUUUACAAAUGGGUGGAGAUAGAGCAUAUGCGAUGAGACCCGAAAGAUGGUGAACUAUGCCUGAGCAGGAUGAAGUCAGAGGAAACUCUGAUGGAA